GGUGGGGUACUCAAGUGGUCAACGAGGGCAGACUGUAAAUCUGCUGGCGACGCCUUCGGAAGUUCGAAUCUUCCCCCCACCACCA
rnacentral:tRNA from 1 species